GAGGGUAUAGCUCAAAGUGGUAGAGCACAUGCUUAGCAUACACAAGGUCCUGGGUUCAAUCCCCAGUACCUCCU
rnacentral:tRNA from 1 species